AUGGUGGGAGUUUUCUCCUCAGCUUUGAUCAAGUGUAUCUUUAUACUGAAGGAUCAGCAGGAGCUUCAUGAUGAUCAGAGGAAGUAUAGAGUGGUGUGUUUAGAGCAGCAGGUUUUUGUACGGACGCUGAAUGAGUUUGUAUCACUGUGGUACACUUUCGGUGGAGGAACUAAACUGGACGUUGGACGUGAGACUCCUCCCACUCUUACAGUCCUGCCCCCGUCCAGUGCAGAGCUGGAGCAGGGGGAGGUCACACUGCUGUGUGUGGGCAGCGGGGGCUUCCCCUCAGACUGGAAGCUGAGCUGGAAGGUGGGCGGCAGCAGCAGGAGCUCGGGGGUCCGUCACAGCCCCGCUCUUCUGAAGAAGGACCACGGCCUCUACAGCUGGAGCAGCACCCUGACCCUCCAGCAGCAGCAGUGGAUGAAGAACACAGUGACCUGUGAGGCCACCAAGAACUCCCAGUCUGUAGCCAGUAAACCAGUGAGCGCAGACCAGUGCUCUCACCUGCUGUGAACACACACACACACACACACACACACAGAUACACACAUAAACACAGAAAUACACACCCCUCUACUUCAUUAAAGUCACUGUCUGUAGCUGAACUGUGUGUUAGAUGUGUUUGAACCUGGUUUACUUUGUAUUACUUUUGUCUUUUGCUUCAUUUUCUGUUUGAAUACAUAAUAAAAGUCUUUUUUGAGCUCCUA